AGACUUGUGAAGGGCUUGGCUUGGAGAAUAUGCUGUAGAAGAACAGACUGAAGGAACUGGGGCUGUUUAGUCUGAGGAAAAGGAGGCUGAGGGGAGACCUUAUUGCUCUCUUCCAGUAACUGAAAGGUGAUUACAGUGAGAGUGGGGUUGGUCUCUUCUCACUGGUGACAGGUGACAGAAUGAGGGGAAAUGGCCUUAAGUUGUGCCAGGGUAAGUUUAACUUGGAUAUCAGGACAAACUUCUUUACAGAAAGGGUGGUAAAGCACUGGAAUAGGCUCCCCAUGGAGGUGGUUGAGUCAGCAUCCCUGGAUGUGAUUAAAAACCAUUUGGAUGUGGUGCUCAGGGACGUGAUUUAGUGGUGGGUUGUUAGAGUUAGGGUAGUGUGGUCAGGUUGUGGUUGGACUUGAUGAUCUUGAAGGUCUUCUCUAACCUGAGCAAUUCUAUGAUUCUAUGCUGAGGGUGGUAAGUGGAAGAAAAACAAUGCAGGCAGAAGCAGAAUCCAAAUGGAAAAUCAUCCAGGCAAAAGAAGUUAUUUCUUUGGAGUAGUUGCUAGUGGACUCUUAGGUGGUGGUAUUUUAGUGGAGCUAUGUUGGGGGCAAUUACUGAAGCAGUGAGAUGAGUCUGGUUCGUCCGAACCAGAACAUACAAGAUCUGUAACAGACACAUAGCUCUUGCUAGUUGAAACUGGUGGCAUUACUUUUAGAGGGGGAAAGUAGAUUUCAAUCAUAAAGAUAGCUUGUCUUUUUUCAUAGAUUACGAGAGAAAGAUGAAACAAAUUGACCAUUUUUUGUGCUACAGUCUUGAUUUCUAUGUAAUGCUGCUGCUGCUGUUCUAAAUCAGCUCAAUCUGUGCUGUCAGAGCAGGAGGGUAAUGAAUAAAAUGGUCACCUCAAGUUUCCCCAUCAAGUGGGUUCAAAAGAAGUAAAUCAGCACAGAGAGCAGGAAUGAUUUUUUUCAGCUUCAAACAGGGAAGAGAUUCUGCUGACGUUCUAUUGAGCCAACAGCAUUC
ensembl:lncRNA